rnacentral:lncRNA from 1 species
UGCAACUCUUCAGGUUUGUUUUCUUUAACCUUUCAUCUAAUUAUUUGGGUUUUGGCUAAUACAAAAGUUGCAAGGUGUCAUGCAUGCAUGAAAGGGGCUAGGUGUCAUCUUUAGAGCAAAGAUAAGUGGCACCAACCUUAGGUUAGCUAGUGACACAUGUCCACUAUUUUUUUUUUUAACUUAAAUCUGAAUCUUUUAU